UAAGUCAGCCACGAAUAGGCUAUCCCAACUAACGGCGGGAAAGACUCCACGGAGGGUGUAAGACCCGUGUGGGCGCGUGUUAAAGCUGUGUGGGCUCGGCCUCUCUUCCCUGAGAGUCGCGUUGCUUGAGCAUGCAGCGCUAAUCAGGUCGUAAACUCGAUCUAAGGCUAAAUAUCUCCACAGAACCGAUAGCGAACAAGUACCGUGAGGGAAAGUUGAAAAGCACUCUGGAGAGAGAGUCAAAAGACCGUGAAACCGCUCAGAGUAUAAGCCCAUGGCAGCUUGGAAGGCAUAUCGCUAGCGGGGCAUCGGUCUCCCUUCACGGGGAGCUGGUGUUACCUUGCUUCUGUUGUGGCUCGUCAAGGUAGGGGGGUCAAGUCCACAUCCCGCCGUCGUGUGGGGAGUUCCUGGGCGUGUCGUUGCUUUGCGGUUGACUUCGGUUGGCCGUAGGGCUCUUCGCGCUUGGGGCUUCUUUGGUCACGGACGUUCAUACUCAGUUGCAAGACGCGAUAACCAGCCCACCACGGCACGUUGUGAGGUCACCCACAGGCUCAGCUUUUGAUUGUUGUCCUUGACGCCGAGCAAGCACAAUGCGUGUCGCAGAUGUUCCUAACCUGGCAAUGCUUGUCGGACAGUGGAACGACACGCGCUCAACAGUCAGGACCGGGCGAUGACAGAGUUCUGGUUUGAUCCUCUCGUGACGAGCCGGCUUCUGGCCGAUUUCCGAUGCUCAGGUCUCCCGCAUGUGCCGCGGGAGAUCGCCUUGACGGUCUGGA
rnacentral:rRNA from 2 species